CCCUUAGAUGUUCUGGGCCGCACGCGCGCUACACUGAUGCAUUCAACGAGCCUAUCCUUGACCGACAGGUCCGGGUAAUCUUUGAAUCUGCAUCGUGACGGGGAUAGAUUAUUGCAAUUAUUAAUCUUCAACGAGGAAUGCCUAGUAGGCGCAAGUCAUCAGCUUGCGUCGAUUACGUCCCUGCCCUUUGUACACACCGCCCGUCGCUCCUACCGAUUGGGUGUGCUGGUGAAAUGUUCGGAUCGGCCGUUUGUCGCGGUUUCCGCGGCUCGUGGCUGAGAAGGUCAUUAAACCCUCCCACCUAGAGGAAGGAGAAGUCGUAACA
rnacentral:rRNA from 1 species